UACGUAGGGGGCAAGCGUUAUCCGGAUUUACUGGGUGUAAAGGGUGCGUAGCCGGAAAUGCAAGUCAGAUGUGAAAGCCCGAAGCUCAACUUCGGGACUGCAUUUGAAUCUGCAUUACUAGAGUGCAGGAGAGGAAAGUGGAAUUCCUAGUGUAGCGGUGAAAUGCGUAGAUAUUAGGAGGAACACCAGUGGCGAAGGCGACUUUCUGGACUGUAACUGACGGUGAGGCACGAAAGCGUGGGGAGCAAACAGG
rnacentral:rRNA from 1 species